GCAAGUCGAGGGCAUCAUGACGAUAGCUUGCUAUGUCGAUGGCGACCGGCGCACGGGUGAGUAACGCGUAUCCAACCUUCCCUUAGUAGGCAUAGCCGCGAAAGUCGGAUUAAUACCCUAUGUUAUUCGUAGAGGACAUCUGAAAUGAAUCAAAGAUUAAUCGCUAAGGGAUGGGGAUGCGUCCGAUUAGGUAGUCGGCGGGGUAACGGCCCACCGAGCCUUCGAUCGGUAGGGGUUCUGAGAGGAAGGUCCCCCACACUGGUACUGAGACACGGACCAGACUCCUACGGGAGGCAGCAGUGAGGAAUAUUGGUCAAUGGACGGGAGUCUGAACCAGACCCAAGUAGCGUGCAGGACGACGGCCCUAUGGGUUGUAAACUGCUUUUAUACGGGGAUAAAGUCGCCCACGUGUGGGUGUUUGUAGGUACCGUAUGAAUAAGGACCGGCUAAUUCCGUGCCAGCCGCCGC
rnacentral:rRNA from 1 species